rnacentral:rRNA from 1 species
ACAUGCCUACAACAUAGAAUUAAUGCACUAGAUCCCAUUAGAACUCUACAGUUAAGCAUGCUCAGGCUACAAUAGUAUUGGGAUGGGUGACCGCCUGGGAAGUCCUAGUAAUUUACAUGCC